GUCGAGUCGGCCUGCGCGGAAGAUGUAACGGGGCUAAGUAGUAAACCGAAGCUGCGGCAAUGUGCUUUUGCACAUUGGGUAGGGGAGCGUUCUGUAAGCGGUUGAAGGUGUGUGGUAACGCAUGCUGGACGUAUCAGAAGUGCGAAUGCUGACAUGAGUAACGAUAAAGGGGGUGAAAAACCUCCUCGCCGGAAGACCAAGGGUUCCUGUCCAACGUUAAUCGGGGCAGGGUAAGUCGACCCCUAAGGCGAGGCCGAAAGGCGUAGUCGAUGGGAAACGGGUUAAUAUUCCCGUACUUCUUACAAUUGCGAUGGGGGGACGGAGAAGGCUAGGUGGGCCUGGCGACGGUUGUCCAGGUUCAAGUGCGUAGGCUUGAGAGUUAGGUAAAUCCGGCUCUUUUUAAGGCUGAGACACGACGUCGAGCACCUACGGGUGUGAAGUCAUUGAUGCCAUGCUUCCAGGAAAAGCCUCUAAGCUUCAGAUUGUAAGGAAUCGUACCCCAAACCGACACAGGUGGUCGGGUAGAGAAUACCAAGGCGCUUGAGAGAACUCGGGUGAAGGAACUAGGCAAAAUGGUACCGUAACUUCGGGAGAAGGUACGCUCUUGAUGGUGAAGUCCCUUGCGGAUGGAGCUGACGAGAGUCGCAGAUACCAGGUGGCUGCAACUGUUUAUUAAAAACACAGCACUGUGCAAAAUCGUAAGAUGACGUAUACGGUGUGACGCCUGCCCGGUGCCGGAAGGUUAAUUGAUGGGGUUAGACUUCGGUCGAAGCUCUUGAUCGAAGCCCCGGUAAACGGCGGCCGUAACUAUAACGGUCCUAAGGUAGCGAAAUUCCUUGUCGGGUAAGUUCCGACCUGCACGAAUGGCGUAAUGAUGGCCACGCUGUCUCCACCCGAGACUCAGUGAAAUUGAAAUCGCUGUGAAGAUGCAGUGUACCCGCGGCUAGACGGAAAGACCCCGUGAACCUUUACUACAGCUUGGCACUGAACAUUGACCCUACAUGUGUAGGAUAGGUGGGAGGCUUUGAAGCACGUACGCCAGUAUGUGUGGAGCCGUCCUUGAAAUACCACCCUUGUAGUGUUGAUGUUCUAACGUCGACCCCUUAUCGGGGUUGCGGACAGUGCCUGGUGGGUAGUUUGACUGGGGCGGUCUCCUCCCAAAGAGUAACGGAGGAGCACGAAGGUGGGCUAAUCACGGUUGGACAUCGUGAGGUUAGUGCAAUGGCAUAAGCCCGCUUGACUGCGAGAAUGACAAUUCGAGCAGGUGCGAAAGCAGGUCAUAGUGAUCCGGUGGUUCUGAAUGGAAGGGCCAUCGCUCAACGGAUAAAAGGUACUCCGGGGAUAACAGGCUGAUACCGCCCAAGAGUUCAUAUCGACGGCGGUGUUUGGCACCUCGAUGUCGGCUCAUCACAUCCUGGGGCUGAAGUCGGUCCCAAGGGUAUGGCUGUUCGCCAUUUAAAGUGGUACGCGAGCUGGGUUUAGAACGUCGUGAGACAGUUCGGUCCCUAUCUGCCGUGGGCGUUGGAAGAUUGAAGGGGGCUGCUCCUAGUACGAGAGGACCGGAGUGGACGAACCUCUGGUGUUCGGGUUGUGUCGCCAGACGCAUUGCCCGGUAGCUAAGUUCGGAAUCGAUAACCGCUGAAAGCAUCUAAGCGGGAAGCGAGCCCUGAGAUGAGUCUUCCCUGAUACUUUAAGUAUCCUAAAGGGUUGUCGGAGACUACGACGUUGAUAGGUCAGGUGUGUAAGUGCUGUGAGGCAUUGAGCUAACUGAUACUAAUUGCCCGUGAGGCUUAACCAUACAACACCCAAGGGGUUU
rnacentral:rRNA from 1 species